AGCUUCCAGCGGCUUCAGAGAGGUGUGCAGCGUGUGGGGUCCCCAGUGCGCGCCGCGGAGUCUCCAAAUGGGGUCACUUGGGCAUGGGGUUUUGUUUCACAACUUGUCUCAUCCGAAAGAAAGGGUUUGAGUUCCAGCUUCGCAGCGUUGAGUCCGUCAGUCCUCCCCGCUCAGGUCGGCAGGCGGGAACCUCCCCAGACUUCAUUUCUGUCCACCGACCUGGAGUUUCAGUUUUCUCACAAAAGUACACUUUUCCCAAUCACUGUAACCAUAAAUGGCUCAAAAUAAAAAUGAAUUUUUUCUUGACUCUGGAAAAC
rnacentral:lncRNA from 1 species